rnacentral:lncRNA from 1 species
CUGUGUUUGUCUGUCUGAUAAAGGGAAAUUUAUUUUCAUUCAUUUUUCAAGUGUUCCACAAUUCUGGCUCCAUUUGCAUUAUUGUCCUGUAGGUUAUUCUGACACUUUGAGUGUACUUGUCUUUCUCACAAGCCAGGACAUCCAGAGUGAUGAACUCCACAGUAGCAUUGAAAGAAAAGAAAACCACUUCAGAAAUACAUGACAGGGAUGAGUAAGCAAGCCUUCCUGGUUGUUGAUCUGUGAUAUACUCAGCAAUUCCAGCAGAGGAAAUAUUUAUUUUAGAAGGGUGCGUAGUUUCCGCUGGGUUUUCACUCCAGCACUAAAACCUGGUGCUGAAAGCUUUAAUGAUCAGAUGAUUUUCUUUCCCCUUUGAGUCAAAGAAGUGACUUUUGCUGUGUGCUUUACCUGCUAAAGCAAACAGCAAGUGCUGUUUGGUAUAUUUCAGGGGCUGAGCAGGAAAUUUCUCGCAACGUGCAGUGACAGCACAAAGCAUUUGCCUCUCUUGCAAGUUAGCAACAUGGAUAAAUAGAAGAGCAGAUUGGCUGGGUCACAGUGCAAGCUGCCAGUCCUUUUUUAUGAAGAUAACCUUCAAAAUGCCUUCAAACUCACUACUGCUGAAAGUCUGUCAAGGUGAGCUUUGUUACAGAAAUCAGAUUAGUCACAGCUCCUCUUAGGCCUUUGCAUAGCAAUCUCGGUGUCUUCAGAAGGUCAAAAGCAUAGGAUUCAGAGCCUGAAUCAAAAUUAACAAUUCUAAACCUCACAAAGUGAAAGUGGUUCAGUAAUACAGGUCCUAAUCUGAAGAUGCAUAUCUCUGUUAUGCACCUCAGCCAUGGAAAUGGACAAGUGAUUGCAGGCUGAUGCAUGGAAGAAGUUAGCACAGCACAGCAAGUUAC